UUAUUCUGAACCAAAGGUAACCCCUACUUCCCUCUUAGGCGUGGAAUGACUGAACCAAGAAGAACACAAAUUGUCUAUCUUCCUCUUAAUUCUGAAACCGAACUCAGCCUUCUUCUACACCCUCCACCGCCGAAAAUAAAAGAAGAGAAAUAGAGGAGUAAUAAGUUUGAAUCGUUCUCACUUAAUGUCCCUGCAAAACCGUAAUCUUCAAUCAGCUAAAUUCCCAUUCACUCUCAUUCUGACUCAGUCCUAGAGCAACUACGGAGGAGAUCAUCAUCUCAAUUCAUUCCUCAUUUUUCUCUAGCUUGGCCGAGGAAUUAUCUUAGGAGGGAAAGUACUCCUUGCUUUCUUUUAGUUCCCUCUUGCUUGGAACGGUUCUAAGUGAGUUUUUCCACUGAAUGAAAUUGGUCCAACCUUGAUUAAGUUUCAUCUUCCCUUGCAUGCAGAUGGGUAGCUCGGAUUCUUGCAAGGAGGAGGGUGAGAGUAUCCUCUUUUGGUCGAUACCUUGGACCGGUUGUGAGCACUUUGGUGUGCACAAAGAGCUGAAGAGUGUAGGCCAGUGACACAUACCAGUUAGGACUCAAUUUUUGUGCUUGGACCGUAGCACCCUUGUGAAGUUGUGGGACUGUUUCGGUGGAAAUUAUUGUGUGUCAAACCUGUAUUCCUUCCCUUGGGUACGCUGUCAACCUCAAAUAGGAAAAGUAAAAAAAAAAAAAAAAGAGAAUUGAGACUUGGAGUAUAGAGAGGUUGAGAGUGUACACACCAACUUAUGGUUAAUCUCAAUCGGCAGAAUUGGGGGUUGUGGAUGCAUGCAAGAGGUGUGCUAAUCUCCAAAAGAGUAUACUCUCACCCUCCUCCUUGCAAGAAUCCGAGCUACCCAUCUGCAUGCAAGGGAAGAUGAAACUCAAUCAAGGUUGGACCAAUUUCAUUCAGUGGAAAAACUCACUUAGAACCGUUCCAAGCAAGAGGGAACUAAAAGAAAGCAAGGAAUACUUCCCCUCCUAACAUAAUUCCUCGGCCAAGCUAGAGAAAAAUGAGGAAUGAAUUGAGAUGAUGAUCUCCUCCGUAGUUGCUCUAGGACUGAGUAAGAAUGAGAGUGAAUGGGAAUUUAGCUGAUUGAAGAUUACGGUUUUGCAGGGACAUGAAGUGAGAACGAUUCAAACUUAUUACUCCUCUAUUUCUCUUCUUUUAUUUUCGGCGGUGGAGGGUGUUACACCAAGCGGGAUUCAGUGCACAUGUUCCCAAUGGAGGACCCCAAGCGAAACUCAACAUAUAACAGAUAUAUACACAGUCAGUCCCAAGGGAGGACCCCAAGCGGACAUCAGUGCAUAAACAAAUCAAUAGUCAGAGAUCAUUACAUAAAUCACAUCAAAACAUAUCAAAUCACAUCAUCAUAUAGCUCUAUAUGAAUGCAUCUAUAUCAUAUAUCUCAUACAUAUCAUACAACCUGACCACAGUCCGUACACUAUGGCGAAACACAAAGUAGGAGCGAACCCCAUAAACAUAGAGCUUACCUCUUGAAGCUUUACCAAUCUGCUCACUUGUAACACAAGUUACCUAUUUAGCUCCAAACGCAAUUCAAACCCUCUCAGUCCCUAGGCACACCUAGAGAAAGAAUUCAAAACAAAAUCAAUAAAAUGCUACAAUGCCAUGAAAUUUACACAAGGCAUACAUCUUACUGCUUACUUUCAUUUUUUAACACUUAUGCCAAAUCUAUGCCAUUACACAAGUCAUAUACUAAUUCCUUUCAAACUUACAUAUAGAACCCCAAAGCUAGUUAGCAUAAAACCACUAACUCUUAGUGGGCAUUUCUCACUUUACAUGUACUUAUCAUGUCCUUAACAUAACUUACAAAUCAUAAUUCCAAGUCCAAUACAAUUCCAACCCAUUUACUUCUUUAAGGGUUGAAAAUGACACAUAUAAGUGUGUUCAUGACUUUUUCUCAAGCUAUCUUUUGUUAGCAACCAUUCCUUUCAUCACUACAUGGCUGAAUUCUAGGGAGGGAGAUGCAAGGAAUUUUUUCAACAUUUAAACUCAUAAUCAUGCUUAUUUAACACUAUAACUUCAUUAACAACACUAAUUCAUCAUCAAUUUCAAAUUCAAAACUAAAUUAUUUCCCACCAAAAUAUGCUCACAAUUAUCAAGACUUAAAUCACAAACAUAACACCAUAGAAUUAGAGGUUUCUUACCUAUAGUUGCUAUUGCAAGCUCCAAAGAACAAAACCUAAGCUUUGCCCACUCAAAAGCCCCACUUUUUCACAAGGAUGAAUAGUGCCACGAAUUGGGGGUGAUGAAUAACUCUCUCCACAAGCCAAAUCAUCCCAAAUGGAGUGGUGGAAUGGAUUCACUAGCCUUUUUCCUUAAAGAUUCAUGUACGACAUCAUGGCUUUUGGUGGCAAAAUGAGUGGAAAUGAAAGGAAAAAGAAAAGAAACCCUAAGCUUCCAUGGAGAAGAAAGACACAUGAAAGGAAAAAGAAAAGAAACCCUAAGCUUCCAUGGAGAAGAAAGACACAGGGCACUCACAGGAAUGGAAGGAGAAAUAAGGGGGUGCUACGAUGUCCAAAAAAUGAAAUAGGCCAAGUUACUUUAUUUCUUUUACUUCUAAUUAUUUUUCAAUAUUAAAUCCACAAUUACUAGUGAGGGUUAUUAUAGGGUCGUUUCAGUUUUAUUAACAGUGUUAUGUACAUUAUUAAAUUGUAGAAAAAAUAAAUCGAGAUGAUUGACAAUUUUAUGUUUUAUUUUUUUGUAAUGACAAUCUUAU